AACGAACGCUGGCGGCAGGCCUAACACAUGCAAGUCGAACGCCGUAGCAAUACGGAGUGGCAGACGGGUGAGUAACACGUGGGAACGUACCCUUCGGUUCGGGAUAACUCAGGGAAACUUGAGCUAAUACCGGAUACGUCCGAGAGGAGAAAGAUUUAUUGCCGAGGGAUCGGCCCGNGUCUGAUUAGCUUGUUGGUGAGGUAACGGCUCACCAAGGCGACGAUCAGUAGCUGGUCNGAGAGGAUGAUCAGCCACAUUGGGACUGAGACACGGCCCAAACUCCUACGGGAGGCAGCAGUGGGGAAUAUUGGACAAUGGGCGCAAGCCUGAUCCAGCCAUGCCGCGUGAGUGAUGAAGGCCCUAGGGUU
rnacentral:rRNA from 1 species